rnacentral:rRNA from 1 species
UACGAAGGGGGCUAGCGUUGUUCGGAAUUACUGGGCGUAAAGCGCGCGCAGGCGGUUUUCCAAGUCAGUGGUGAAAGCCCGGAGCUCAACUCCGGAAUUGCCAUUGAAACUGUUAAACUUGAGGACGAGAGAGGUGAGUGGAAUUCCCAGUGUAGAGGUGAAAUUCGUAGAUAUUGGGAAGAACACCGGUGGCGAAGGCGGCUCACUGGCUCGUUUCUGACGCUCAGGCGCGAUAGCGUGGGGAUCAAACAGG